rnacentral:lncRNA from 1 species
CCCAGGUCUAGGCGAGGGAUGGAAAUAAGGACAGUGCCACUAGGGCCUCCUGUCUGUACAGGAGGGGCCCUGAGACAGCUCCUCAAACCCCUUUCCCAUUAUACGGAUGGUGCAGAUGGGGACACUGAGGUACAGAGAGACAGUCAGUUGUCCUCAGAAUUGGAUCCAGAACCUCGUCUUCUGGCAUGGCCCCCCAGUGCAGCACCACAUGUGGCCUCCGAAUUCCCAGUCUGGGAUUGGGGGAGCUCUGGUCCUUGGGGGACCACCAUGCUCUUUUGGAGUUGUCAACUUGGUAGGAACCCUCUGGUUCCAACGCUGUGCCUUUGCGGCCCUCUCCUGGCAUCUGCUGUCCCUUUAGGAGGUCCUACCACCCUUUUCUUCUGAGCCUGGACAACUCCUUCCCUUGCCCCCAGGAGCCCACAGCCGGCUAAACCAACUGGUCAGCUAGAACCAACCAGCAGGGGAGGUGCGCUCCAGGGGGGCUUCUAAGAGGAGGCAGUUUUGGAGUCAGAGGUGAAGUGUGGGGAGUGGGAUUGGGUGAUAGGGAAGUUUCUCCAGCAAAGACACUGGGCAAGCCUCUUCCUUGGCCCCCAGAUAAAGGGCUGCAGGGUGGUCUCCGUGUAAGAGGGUGGGGCUCUGCCCUCUGUCAGGCCCUUCCUGGCCCUCCGAGCACAGGAGAGGCCCUGGCUCCACCUGUGUCUUGCUUCCCUGACUUCCUCCCACCUCUACAUUCUAGCCUGGGGCAGAAGUAGGGUGGAGGGGUGGGUCUAGCCUCCUUGAUGACACAGUUGGGGUUGGAGGUGGGGGCUACCCCUAUUCUGGGCCUGGUGCUGUCCCUGAAGUCAGGGGUCAGCCUCACACCGAGCUCUCUGCCAAAACCCCGGAUCACAAGCAUGAGCUCCAGCAGGUCCGCUUGAGUGAACACCGCUGAUCCUGCCUGCAGGGGUAUAGGCCUGGGGCCUGCCAGCCGUCCGCACUGUCUGUGGGGUGUUUUGGGUUGCAGGUUCCAUGUCCUGAAGCAGGAGAGCCCUCCCCAUGCCACCUCCUCUGCCCAGCCUCUUAGGGACAGUGCCUGGGAUGCCCUGGCUGGAGUGAGGACUGGGGUGUGCUUUCAGCCCAUAGCUGGCCCUGGGCAUAAAGGCAUCUGCUGUGGUGCUGCAGCCAAGGCCAGGCUGUGCUCUGUGCUUGUGUCGGGGAGCCCUUGGCAGUGGCCACCCCACAGGUGGCUUUUUAUUCCCUCCUGCUGCUGAGUGUCACGCGUGGGGCUGAGGGCCUGCACGCCUUCCCGGCCUCAUCCUCUCCGACGAUUCACGCCCUCCUAAGGCUGGCAGGAUAGGAGCCAUGCUCCCCUGGGGUGGCUCUGGAACGUGGGCCCCGUGCACAGGCUAUGUAGUCUGCUCACACCCUUGCUGCCUGCCACCCGGGCACCCAGGACUUGAGCCCAGACCCUGGCCACCCUGUUGUUGUGGGAGUAUUAGGGGAAGUUGCCACUAAGGCUGGCAGGUCCUGGAGUUCCACCCAGGAUGGGGACAUGGGGGAGGGAAGAGGAGGUGCCCCUCAGAGCCUGAGGCCAGGACCAAGUGGGGUGAUCAGGACCCCUCCAGGUGGGUCCCGGGUGCGGAUGGCCAGUUGGGCGCAUGCUUAUUGGGCCUGCAUCCGUUGGCCACGGAGGCUCUUUGGGACAAGCAAAUAGAAUGCCCCAGAAAUAAACUUGGCCCAAGUUUGUGAUGGUUCUGGGUAUGAAAGAAGUCAGUGUUUCCCAAGUGCCUGCUAUGUGCGAGGCUCUGUGCUGGGGCGGGUGCAUGUGUGCGUUGGGGGCGUGGACAGGAGGGGUGGGAAAGGCCUGUGACAUUUCCUCUGGUGGUUUCCACGAACCCAGGCGUCACCCCUCGGUGGAGAUAAAGUGGAGCCACCCAGCUCCACCGUGUCUCAGCCUGGGGUCGGCCUCUGCUGCUUCUGGACUCAGUGACCCUGGGCUGUCAGGGAGCUUCUGAGCCUUGGUUUUCCUGUCUAGUAAGAUGGAGGUAAUCGUGUCUUAUGGGGUUGUUUUGAGGGUUAAAUGAGCUGGUGGCUGUGUGGGAAAGAGCUCUGCCUCCCGCAGGGAGGAACUGUGCUGUUCUUAUUAUUGUGAACUUAGUGACAAGUGUGGCACUAUUACCCAUUUCCUUGUCUGCCCCCAACCCUGGGGUCUUGGGCAGAGAACAGGAGUUCUUGCCAUUUUCUCCCAGCUCCCACCUUGUGCUGGCUUGCGGGUGCUGAGGUCAUAUUUGCUGGGUGAAAGGGUGCAGGCCAGAUAUGAGCCAGGCCUGGCAGAGAGGGUUUUGGUCAGCAGUGAUACCUGCAGUGUUCUCUGCAGUUGGUUUGGGCUGGCCCUGCUCCUGAGAACUCCUGGGUUGUCCCUUCAGGCAACCAGGGAAGGCUCCUUGGAGCAGCAGCAUCUCCCCUUACCACUCGCCGACACCAGCUUCCGCCUGACCCAGAGAAGGAGUUUGGGGACAGCCACAGCACGUCCAGGGCUCCCAAGGCAGCUGGCAGAGCCAAUGAGGAGACCCCAACACCCAUCCGACGGCUGCAGCUCUCCCUGACGUGUGUCACCCGCAGCCCUGGUCCCAGCCGCUGUGCUUCUCAGGGCCUGCCUGCCCAGCCCGGGUGGAUAUGGUGCCCAGGCGGGCCCCGGGGACACAAUGAGGGCCAUUCUCAGAGCCAGGCAGAGCGUGUGGGGCAGUCCUGUCAGUCCUAUGUGCAACAGCUGGGAUAUUGUUUAGGGAGUGCUGGCAUCAGGCUGGGGCUCUCCUCCUCUGGCCCUGCCCUUUGGGAUGAGCAAGCCCCCAAAGGCCUUCCUGGGUUCCUCUGGUGCACGUGCCCUGGAGUUACCCUUCUGAAGGAGGUAGACUUGUCCUCCUGUCCUGGGUGCCUGGGGUGCAGGGGUGUGAAUUGGGCUAUGUCAAGAUAUGCUGGGCAGUACUGUGAGGUGGGGGCAGAGGGGAGAAGGUGUCCCAGGAGGAGCCUUCCUGGAGGGGAUGAUAGUCCAGCAUGUUCUGAAGUGGGAGUAGGGUGCGGCAGGAGUAGGGUACCAGAGAAUGAGUGAGUCAGGCAGCAGCCUCCACUGCGCCUUGGACACAGGUGGCUGACAGUGUCCACCUGGACUGGCUUUGCACCCCUUCUGAGGUCACAGUUGUGUCCCUUGAAAACUUGGGCAGGAGCACCUGACUGGCCCAGCUUGGGUCAUGCCCUAGGCCCAGCAGUGCGGGAGGCCAGGAAAGUAGGCUUGGGGAGGCUGGCCUCUCCUCCAGUUUGAAGCAUGGCAGGGGUUCCGGGGGAGGCUGCUGGGGGGCCUGCGAGCAUGUCCAGAGCAGGAAUGCUUGGGGUGGUGUGUGCUUUGCUCGUCUGGGCUUAUCUGGCCGUGGGGAAGCUGGUUGUGCGGAUGACGUUCACUGAGCUGUGCACGCAUCAUCCAUGGAGUCUGCGGUGUGAGUCCUUUUGCCGCUCCAGGGUCACAGCCUGCCUCCCUGCUCCAGCCCCCUGGCUGAGGCCCUUCCUCUGCCCCAUGCUCUUCUCAGACAGGAAUCCUGUGGAAUGUCAUCUCUUUGGGGAGGCCGUCUCUGACCCUGUAUGCAAAGGCCUUCUCCCACAUUAUUUUUGGCACCCCACUUUCUUCCCCGUGAAAGCAAAUUGUUUGGUGUCUUUCUGUCCCACUACAGUAUAGGCCCGGUUCAGACAGAGGCCUUGUCCACUAGGCCUGCGCUAUCUCUGCGGAGCCCAGCCAAAGCAGGGGCCAGGCGAAUCUUUUGUUAAAAGAACAAUGCGCGCUGGGCACAGUGGCUCACGCCUGUAAUCCCAGCACUUUGGGAGUCCGAAGCUGGAGGAUCACUUGAGCCCAAGAGUUUGAGACCACCCUGGGCAACAUAAGGAGAACCCAUCUCUACACAAAAUUAGCUGGGCGUGGUGGUGUAUGCCUGUAGUCCUAGCUACUUGGGAGGCUAAGGUGGGAGGUGGCUGAGGUGGGAGGAUCACUUGAGCCUGGGAGGUUGUUGCAGUGAGAGCCAUGAUCGCGCUACUGGGCAAUAGAGCAGAACCCAGUCUC